rnacentral:misc_RNA from 1 species
GGUGAGUCAUCGAAUCUUUGAACGCACAUUGCGCCCCCUGGUAUUCCGGGGGGCAUGCCUGUCCGAGCGUCAUUACUGCCCAUCAAGCCCGGCUUGUGUGUUGGGUCGACGUCCCCCCCGGCGAGGGGGGGACGGACCCGAAAGGCAGUGGCGGUGCCGCGCCGGUGCUUCGAGCGUAUGGGGCUUUGUCACCCGCUCCGGAGGCCUGGCCGGCGCCCGUCGUCCCCACACUAUUUUUCUCGGUGGACCUCGGAUCAGGUAGGGAUACCCGCUGAACUUAAGCAUAUCAAUAAGCGGAGG